rnacentral:rRNA from 1 species
GGCUAGGGGGCCAUCCCGGCUUACCAACCCGAUGCAAACUGCGAAUACCGGAGAAUGUUAUCACGGGAGACACACGGCGGGUGCUAACGUCCGUCGUGAAGAGGGAAACAACCCAGACCGCCAGCUAAGGUCCCAAAGUCAUGGUUAAGUGGGAAACGAUGUGGGAAGGCCCAGACAGCCAGGAUGUUGGCUUAGAAGCAGCCAUCAUUUAAAGAAAGCGUAAUAGCUCACUGGUCGAGUCGGCCUGCGCGGAAGAUGUAACGGGGCUAAACCAUGCACCGAAGCUGCGGCAGCGACACUGUGUGUUGUUGGGUAGGGGAGCGUUCUGUAAGCCUGCGAAGGUGGCCUGUGAGGGUUGCUGGAGGUAUCAGAAGUGCGAAUGCUGACAUAAGUAACGAUAAAGCGGGUGAAAAGCCCGCUCGCCGGAAGAUCAAGGGUUCCUGUCCAACGUUAAUCGGGGCAGGGUGAGUCGACCCCUAAGGCGAGGCCGAAAGGCGUAGUCGAUGGGAAACGGGUUAAUAUUCCCGUACUUGGUGUUACUGCGAAGGGGGGACGGAGAAGGCUAUGUUGGCCGGGCGACGGUUGUCCCGGUUUAAGCGUGUAGGUGUGUGUUCCAGGUAAAUCCGGUUCACUUUAACACUGAGGCGUGAUGACGAGGCACUACGGUGCUGAAGCAACAAAUGCCCUGCUUCCAGGAAAAGCCUCUAAGCAUCAGGUAACAUCAAAUCGUACCCCAAACCGACACAGGUGGUCAGGUAGAGAAUACCAAGGCGCUUGAGAGAACUCGGGUGAAGGAACUAGGCAAAAUGGUGCCGUAACUUCGGGAGAAGGCACGCUGACACGUAGGUGAAGUGAUUUACUCACGGAGCUGAAGUCAGUCGAAGAUACCAGCUGGCUGCAACUGUUUAUUAAAAACACAGCACUGUGCAAACACGAAAGUGGACGUAUACGGUGUGACGCCUGCCCGGUGCCGGAAGGUUAAUUGAUGGGGUCAGCGCAAGCGAAGCUCCUGAUCGAAGCCCCGGUAAACGGCGGCCGUAACUAUAACGGUCCUAAGGUAGCGAAAUUCCUUGUCGGGUAAGUUCCGACCUGCACGAAUGGCGUAAUGAUGGCCAGGCUGUCUCCACCCGAGACUCAGUGAAAUUGAACUCGCUGUGAAGAUGCAGUGUACCCGCGGCAAGACGGAAAGACCCCGUGAACCUUUACUAUAGCUUGACACUGAACAUUGAGCCUUGAUGUGUAGGAUAGGUGGGAGGCUUUGAAGUGUGGACGCCAGUCUGCAUGGAGCCGGCCUUGAAAUACCACCCUUUAAUGUUUGAUGUUCUAACGUGGACCCGUGAUCCGGGUUGCGGACAGUGUCUGGUGGGUAGUUUGACUGGGGCGGUCUCCUCCUAAAGAGUAACGGAGGAGCACGAAGGUUGGCUAAUCCUGGUCGGACAUCAGGAGGUUAGUGCAAUGGCAUAAGCCAGCUUGACUGCGAGCGUGACGGCGCGAGCAGGUGCGAAAGCAGGUCAUAGUGAUCCGGUGGUUCUGAAUGGAAGGGCCAUCGCUCAACGGAUAAAAGGUACUCCGGGGAUAACAGGCUGAUACCGCCCAAGAGUUCAUAUCGACGGCGGUGUUUGGCACCUCGAUGUCGGCUCAUCACAUCCUGGGGCUGAAGUAGGUCCCAAGGGUAUGGCUGUUCGCCAUUUAAAGUGGUACGCGAGCUGGGUUUAGAACGUCGUGAGACAGUUCGGUCCCUAUCUGCCGUGGGCGCUGGAGAACUGAGGGGGGCUGCUCCUAGUACGAGAGGACCGGAGUGGACGCAUCACUGGUGUUCGGGUUGUCAUGCCAAUGGCACUGCCCGGUAGCUAAAUGCGGAAGAGAUAAGUGCUGAAAGCAUCUAAGCACGAAACUUGCCCCGAGAUGAGUUCUCCCUGAGACUUAGAGUCUCCUGAAGGAACGUUGAAGACGACGACGUUGAUAGGCCGGGUGUGUAAGCGCAGCGAUGCGUUGAGCUAACCGGUACUAAUGAACCGUGAGGCUUAACCUUACAACGCCG